rnacentral:rRNA from 1 species
UACGGAGGAUCCGAGCGUUAUCCGGAUUUAUUGGGUUUAAAGGGUGCGUAGGCGGCCUGUUAAGUCAGGGGUGAAAGACGGUAGCUCAACUAUCGCAGUGCCCUUGAUACUGAUGGGCUUGAAUGUACUAGAGGUAGGCGGAAUGUGACAAGUAGCGGUGAAAAUGCAUAGAUAUGUCACAGAACACCAAUUGCGAAGGCAGCUUACUAUGGUAUGAUUGACGCUGAGGCACGAAAAGCGUGGGGGAUCAAAACAGG